rnacentral:rRNA from 1 species
CACCGCCCGUCGCUUCAUCGAAGUUGGUUUUAGGCGAAGGCAGUGCGCUAACCGCAAGGAGGCAGCUGACCACGGUGGGAUCAGCGACUGGGGUG